rnacentral:rRNA from 1 species
UACGUAGGGGGCAAGGCGUUGUCCGGAUUUAUUUGGGCGUAAAGAGCUCGUAGGUGGUUCGGUAAGUCGGAUGUGAAAUCUCCAGGCUCAACCUGGAGGGGUCAUUCGAUACUGCCGUGACUAGAGUUCGGUAGGGGAGUGUGGAAUUCCUGGUGGAGCGGUGAAAUGCGCAGAUAUCAGGAGGAACACCCGUAGCGAAGGCGGCACUCUGGGCCGAUACUGACACUGAGGAGCGAAAAGCGUGGGGGAGCGAACAGG